CUGGGGUUUUACACAUUCAUUCUUUAGUGUGUCCUGCUGUGUGUCUCUAACAAGCAGAGUCCUGGAGUCCAAUGUGAUGAAAUGUUUGUGAGCAUCAUCGCUACAUGUCACACAGCAGCACAGUCCAGAUGGAGAGCAGCCUCACAACCCGUCACCCUCCGGAUCAAUGCUUGUUCUUUCUCCAACCAGUCAACACUAAACUUCUUCUUCUUGCUUUUUACCUUCUAAAAGUUCAAAUUAACUUUGCGUCCGUCUCGUGCAGUGUUGCCAACUCCUCAGUAAGGACAGCAGCCAUUGGCUGUCCUGGAAGUCGCUUAGUGACGUCAUCAUUGUAAUGGACGCUGUAGGAGGAAUAACGUCGUGAGAAACGUUACUAUACUAAACGCAACACUCUGGCGGAACUCCCGGAAGUAGUUUCAAAAUAAAAGCCGUGCUCCUGUAAACAAGGUGUCCGGUGCUGACAGUGACUCCGGGUUGAUAGCAGACAUGCGCAGAGUGUGUUGACAUCUGAGCAGGAAGAAGUUUCUGCUUCAGUCACGCCUCACGACUUCAUCAGCACUUCCUGUCCAAGCUGAAGAUCUGCCCGUCCACCAAGCAGAUCCUCAGGAAACACCUUCGUGGCUCUGUGCUACAGACUGGAGGAGAUGAAUGAUUUAAAAGAUGAGGAGGAGGACGGCUCAGUGUCUCCAGUCCCCAGCUGUCUGUCUGUGAAGACUGACUUCUCUAAAGAAGAACCUCCAAACUUCAGUAAUGAACCUGGACCCUCAGACACAAAAUGGAGGGCGGUGUCUCCAGUCCCCAGCUGUCUGUCUGUGAAGACUGACUUCUCUAAAGAAGAACCUCCAAACUUCAGUAAUGAACCUGGACCCUCAGACA